rnacentral:rRNA from 1 species
CGAGGACGAACGCUGGCGGCGUGCCUAACACAUGCAAGUCGAGCGAGGAGAUCCUUCGGGAUGAUCCUAGCGGCGGACGGGUGAGUAACACGUGGGCAACCUGCCUCAUAGAGAGGAAUAGCCUUCCGAAAGGGAGAUUAAUACCUCAUAACAUUGCAGUUUCGCAUGGAACAGCAAUUAAAGGAGUAAUCCGCUAUGAGAUGGGCCCGCGGCGCAUUAGCUAGUUGGUGAGGUAACGGCUCACCAAGGCGACGAUGCGUAGCCGACCUGAGAGGGUGAUCGGCCACAUUGGGACUGAGACACGGCCCAGACUCCUACGGGAGGCAGCAGUGGGGAAUAUUGCACAAUGGGGGAAACCCUGAUGCAGCAACGCCGCGUGAGUGAUGACGGCCUUCGGGUUGUAAAGCUCUGUCUUCAGGGACGAUAAUGACGGUACCUGAGGAGGAAGCCACGGCUAACUACGUGCCAGCCGCGGC